CUCACUAGACCGGCCAACCCGUAUGCUGGCACACGGUCUACCAUAGGUGUACACUAAUCCAAGUAGGGUUUGCGGCCCUACAAGGACCCGAAUUCGAUUUAUAUAAUAAAUGGCAAAGCCAUUUCAGAUAGGUACGUUAAAACAAAAUAGGGCAUGAUAAACGUAUUUUCAUUUCUUUUCCAUCGAUAAAAUAGUUAGGACAAAGUCCUUAAUUAAAAGAAAGUCCACCUCGUUCGCUUAUUUUCUUCAACUUAGAUUAUUCCACUCCAAGUCAACUUGCUUGCGGUGAAAGCCUUUUUUGGGAGUUAAAUAAAAUACAUUCAUCAAUACAAGGAUCCACAAGAUGCAUCCAUCUUAAGGCUUCGAUUAUUUUUAUCAAUCGGAUUACGAAUUUUCCCAAUUAAAAUCAGUCCAAGGAAUAAAACAACCAUUCUCGGCCCACUCGAAAAGAAACAGCCCAAGCCCUUAAUCUAUUAAACCCAUUUGAAGAAUAAAGAAAAAAAAUGAAAGAACUCCCUUUCCCAACGUACACAUACACACGUAUACUCCCCCACUUCCAUUUUAAAUCCAAGAUAAAAAAUAUUACGGUAAUAAACAAUUAAACCAAUUAAGAAAUAAAACAAUUGGGAAAAGAACCCCAUUCGAACAGUUAUCAGCGGCGAGAUUCGAUUGUAGGAUCAAACUAGCGCAGGUAUGUUCUGCUCCAGGUCUCUAACGUUUCUGUUAUUGAUUUUUUUCAGAUUGCUUUUUCUGUUAUUGAUUUUUUUCAGAUUGCUUCUUCUGUUAUUGCUUUUUGAUCUACUUUAUUUAUCAACUAGAUUCACGAUUCUAGCGUUUCUGUUGUUGCUUUUUUUUUCAAAUUGUUUGAAUUGAGAGAAUGAGUAAUUGGAUCCUGUGAAGCCGAGACUCUGGUGAGUGAACUGCUUCUGGACUUUUGUAAUGAAUUAUAUAGAUAUGUGAUUCAUAUUUGAGUGGAAUGUUGAGCUGGUUAACUGCUUUUGUGAUUGAGAUUGCAUUGAGUUUGAUGUAAUUGUGAUGUUCAUUUGAUAUUGUUUACUCUUUACAUUGUAAACUGGAAAUUAAAUCAUUAGUAGCAUGAGAUAAUUGAGCUAACCAUACAUUAAACAAUAUUGAGAAAUAGGGAGGUGACGUUUAGUUAUAUGUUAGCUAUGGAUUGCUCACUGCUCACUUACAAUUAUACUUUUUUCCAGUCAUCCGUUCAUUGUUAAACCCCUCUCUAGUCAAAAUUUUGACUGGAAUAGAAAGGUUGAUUAAAUUUUAUAAGAACAAUUAAGAAACAGAACCAUAAAUAUAAGUAUUGAUUAUUGAAGGAGAUUCACUAUUGUUCCAGCUAUGUUUAUUUGUUGUUUCUCACAAUCAUAACAAACACAUUAGUAUUGAUCCCAUAUCUUCAUGUGAUUGUACAUAAAAAUGGAGUAUAAAAUAUAUCAUGUUGCAGAUUUGUGCUUCUGUUGGAGGGCACAAAGUUAUAUAACUAACCCAAUAAAAUCAACUCACCUCGUUUCUCAUUGAUUAGGAGCUGCCAACUCUGUAAAUACUAAAAAAUCCUCAAUCGGUUUACACACUUAUCUGAUUUAUAGAUUUGUUUACUUUUGUGUAAAUUGUAACGAUGUCAAAAACUUGGAAAAGUUUUCAAAGGGGUAAGAGUCCAUUCCUGUUGGAAAAUAAACAUCGAUUCGAAGUUAAUAAGUUGCAAAAGCUUUUGAUUUACUGAGAUUUAUGUGCGGUAGAAGCCAAAUUUGAUUUUUGAGCUCACUGAUUUUAUUUCUAAGGGGAGAUUUCAUUUUGCAGCUGUCUUUCAAGAUGCAAAUUGGUAAUAGGUAUAUCUCCUAAUUGUACCAUUUCUCAUUUGCAAAAUUCAUGUUUCUGCAAAUGAAUGAAUAUGCUUCGAGUGUGUGUGAUUUCCUUAACUACCAUUCCGUCAGACCAGAAAAUUGAUCUUAAACUUCCUGAUUUUGGCAGCCUACACAUUGUGUUAUUAAUUUUUUGAGAGUUUCCUUGAUCUCAGUGAAAGUAUGGAGCCACAUAUGAAGUAAGUAUCUUCUUGGUCCUAAACCUAGAUUGUGUUAAUAUGGGUAUUUCUAUCAAUGCUGCAGGAAAUCGAAAAAUUGCGGGAGCUGGUAAAGGUCCGUAGUCAACAAGUUCAAGAGAUGAGAAGAAGUGCAUAAAUUUAGGAAGUGUUAGGUUUGACAUCUAUGUUUAUGGAAGAAAAGGGGGUUUUUUUUACUAUUCUAGCUUCAUGGUCAGCAAGUUAGGAAACAAUGGUUUGACAACUAUCAUUUUGGAAGAUUCAAAUCAUUCGUUUGGUUUGAAGUGUAAAACAAUAUUUUUAGUUUUAUGUAAAAUUUAAAUUUUGUCA